CAUCAUGUUGGGAACAGGGACAUUUUCACUCUUACCUCUGAGGAUUUUGGUUAAUUUUUGUAAUCUCAAGAUAUAGAAAAUGGAGGAAUUUCAGAUAGACCAGAUGAUGCAGUUGAUGUCUACCACACAUACUUUGGUGUAGCUGGACUUUCACUUCUUGAAUAUCCAGGAUUGAAAGCCAUAGAUCCAGGCUAUGCUUUGCCGGUUGAUGUUGUAAAUAGAAUUUUCUUGGGAAAAUAAUGAUCCUGAAGAACAACUUAUGAUUCUAAUUAUAACUGAACUCAUUGUUUUCUCUUUUAUAGGAAAUAAAGAAAAUAAUAUAUCUUUAUGUUGAAGUAGAAAUAUAUUGUUAAAGGGAUAAUGCUUUGGACAUUGUUUUGAAUCAAAUGCAGUCUUGUGAUCGUGGUCAUUUGAAUAUGCCAGCUGAUGAAAGAGAAAAGAGACACCAGCAUAAUUUCAUGCAUGUAACAACUCAUACAUCUCAAGAAUGGGCUGCAACCUUUGUUAGUGAACUUAAUGAUACUAUUGUGGAAGCUCAACUGAGGACUAGGCAAGUUCCACCUCUACUUCCUAUGAAAGAAGCCGUUGAUCACUAUUUGGAAUCCAAU